GACGAACGCUGGCGGCGUGCCUAAUACAUGCAAUUAGCACUCAGUUGCGACCUGGUGCGUAACGCGUAGGUACCUGCCUCCUCGCGGGGGCUCACUAUUGGCAACGAUAGCUAAUACCGCAUACUGUGAGCUGGACCUGAGUUGUAUUAGCUAGUUGGUGAGUUAAAUGCUCACCAAGUCGACGAUACAUAGCCGACCUGAGAGUGUGAUCGGACAAACUGAGAGUGAGACACGGCCAAGACUCAUACGGGAGGAAGCAGUAGGGAAUCGGCGGAAAUGGACGGAAGUAUGACCGAGCAACGCAGCGUGAGUGAAGAAGGUGUUCGGAUCGUAAAGCUCGGUUGUUAGAGAAGCGGUAACUAACCAGAAAGGGACGGCUAACUACGUGCCAGCAGCCGCGGUAAUUC
rnacentral:rRNA from 1 species